CUCUGUUUGAAGGUAUAAAGAGUAUAACCUGCUCACUGAUAAAAGUUUAAGAGCCGCAGUAUUUUGACUGUGCAAAGGUAGCAUAAUCGUUUGUUUUUUAAUUGGAAUCUUGUAUGAAUGGUUGGACAAGAGAAAAACUGUCUUUAUAAGAAAAAUUGAAUUUAACUUUUAGAUGAAAAGGUCUAAAUAAAUUAAAGGGACGAUAAGACCCUAUAAAGCUUAAUAUAAAAAGUUAGUUAAUUAAAUUUUAUUAAAAUAAAAAUGAAUUAGUUUAAUAUAUUUUGUUGGGGCGACAGAGGUAAAAUUAUUAUUAACUACUUAAAUAAGAUUCAAAUAUAAGUGUAAUUUUAAAAGAUCCUAGUUAAAGAUUUAAAGUUUAAGUUACUUUAGGGAUAACAGCGUUAUUUUUUUUGAGAGUACUUAUCGAGAAAAAAGUUUGCGACCUCGAUGUUGAAUUAAAAUAUCUUUAUAAUUGCAGAAGUUAUAAAAGAAGGUCUGUUCGACCUUUAAAUUUUUACAUGAUUUGAGUUCAGACCGGCGUGAG
rnacentral:rRNA from 1 species